CUGACUGCUAUCGGAUUGAUACUAAGCCAUGCGAGUCAUUGUAGCAAUACAAGGCAGACGGCUCAGUAACACGUAGUCAAUCUACCCUAUGGACGUGAAUAACCUCGGGAAACUGAGAAUAAUGCCCGAUAGAACAUUAUGCCUGGAAUGGUUUAUGUGUCAAAUGAUUUAUCGCCAUAGGAUGGGACUGCGGCCUAUCAGUUUGUUGGUGAGGUAAUGGCCCACCAAGACUACUACAGGUACGGGCUCUGAGAGGAGUAGCCCGGAGAUGGGUACUGAGACACGGACCCAGGCCCUAUGGGGCGCAGCAGGCGAGAAACCUUUGCAAUGUGCGAAAGCACGACAAGGUUAAUCCGAGUGGUUUCUGCUAAAGAAACCUUUUGUCAGUCCUAGAAACACUAACGAAUAAGGGGUGGGCAAGUUCUGGUUUCACCCGCCGCGGUAAAACCAGCCCCUCAAGUGGUCAGGAUGAUUAUUGGGCCUAAAGCAUCCGUAGCUCGUUUUGUAAGUUUUCGGUUAAAUCCAUGCGCUUAACGUAUGGGCUGCCGGGAAUACUGCAUAACUAGGAAGUGGGAGAGGUAGACGGUAUUCGGGAGGAAGGGGUAAAAUCCUUUGAUCUCUUGAUGACCACCUGUGGCGAAGGCGGUCUACCAGAACACGUUCGACGGUGAGGGAUGAAAGCUGGGGGAGCAAACCGGAUUAGAUACCCGGGUAGUCCCAGCUGUAAACUAUGCAAACUCAGUGAUGCAUUGGCUUAUGGCCAAUGCAGUGCUGCAGGGAAGCCGUUAAGUUUGCCGCCUGGGAAGUACGUACGCAAGUAUGAAACUUAAAGGAAAUUGGCGGGG
rnacentral:rRNA from 1 species